GGGUCCGCCGGCGAGCACUGGCGGAGGUUAUUGCGGAUGGUCGGGCCGCCAUCC
rnacentral:ncRNA from 1 species